rnacentral:rRNA from 1 species
CGCGUAGGCGGUUUUUUAAGUCAGAUGUGAAAGCCCGGGGCUUAACCCCGGAAGUGCAUUUGAAACUGGAAAACUUGAGUAUGGGAGAGGGAAGUGGAAUUCCUGGUGUAGAGGUGAAAUUCGUAGAUAUCAGGAGGAACACCGGUGGCGAAGGCGACUUCCUGGACCAAUACUGACGCUGAUGCGCGAAGGCGUGGGGAGCAAACA